rnacentral:tRNA from 1 species
AAGCGGUUAUUUUAAUAAAAUACUUAAUUUCGGCUUAAGAGUUUAAGGUUAAACCCCUUAACCGCUCA